UACGUAGGGGGCAAGCGUCGUCCGGAAUCAUUGGGCGUAAAGCGCGUGUAGGCGGCCCGGUAAGUCCGCUGUGAAAGUCCAGGGCUCAACCCUGGGAUGCCGGUGGAUACUGUCGGGCUCGAGUCCGGAAGAGGCGAGUGGAAUUCCUGGUGUAGCGGUGAAAUGCGCAGAUAUCAGGAGGAACACCGGUGGCGAAGGCGGGUCUCUGGGCAAUAACUGACGCUGAGGAGCGAAAGCGUGGGGAGCGAACAGG
rnacentral:rRNA from 1 species